rnacentral:lncRNA from 1 species
ACAAAUAUAAGUGAAACAUAAUAAUAAAAUAAGUGAUAAUACAAGUGUUACAAAGUCUCAAAUAAAUAUUAACGACAUAGCAGUUUCUAUAUUUCUUAUAGAUGAAGUGUUUGAAGAACACAGAAAAAAUGUACAAUUACAAAAUUAGCGUCAUUAUUGAAUAGUAAUGAAUAAUAAAGGCUUAUAGACCAAUUGCAAAACUUAGUGACCGCGCCUUAAACUGCACGAAUACGAGGCUUAUUAGGCAAAAACAAAUCAUUCUGCUAUAUUUUUAUAUGCCGAAAAAUAAAUUUUGGUGUUUGAGACGCGUUUUUACGGUAAUCUCUUCAUUUUUUUUCAAUAUUUUUGUUUUGACUAUGUAAAUCUAUAUUAAACUUGGUCAUAGAUUUAGUCUUACUUCAAAUUUCAUUGUUUUUCGCGGCAUGCGAGACAAAGUUUUUCUGUUUUUCGCCGUCCGAUAAAAGAAGCAGAUUAUACAAGAGAAAGAAUCAGCUAUUUUCCGUCUGUUUUAUUAAUAUAUUUCAAAGAAUAAGUUGUAGCAUUGAUUAAUUUUGUUUGAGUUGUAAUAUAAUAGCAAAUUUUCGAUUUUAACUUUAAAAAUCAAAUGGAUUCUAGAAAACACACUUUAAAAACCCUAAAAUUCAC